GAAAUGCGAUACGUAGUGUGAAUUGCAGAAUUCCGUGAAUCAUCAAAUCUUUGAACGCAUAUUGCACUCGAGGCUUCGGCCGAGAGUAUGUCUGCCUCAGCAUCGGGUUAAUACUCACUCAACACACCCUGUGUGUAUACGAGUGGACCUGGCUGUCCCAGCUAUGCCUGCUUCGGCAGAUGAAGCUGGCUGGGUUAGCUGAAGUUCAGAGGUUAACACAAGGACCCGUUAAGGGCCGCAACUGGGUAGGCAUUCUAUGCUAAUCUUAGUUGUUGGCUUGGGACUGUGUUCGACCCAAAAACAGGAAAAACCCUAUUUUCUCGAUCUGAGCUCAGGCAAGAACACCCGCUGAACUUAAGC
rnacentral:misc_RNA from 1 species